GCCGUAGCAGCCCUGUCGGAUUGGGGCGCCUGGUCUUUCCGACCAGGGAUUGCAGGUUCGACUCCUGUCUGCGGCU
rnacentral:tRNA from 1 species